rnacentral:rRNA from 1 species
AAUAUUGCACAAUGGGCGCAAGCCUGAUGCAGCGUCGCCGCGUGAGGGAUUACGGCCUCCGGGUUGCAAACCUCUUUCCGUGCCGACGAAGCGGAAGUGACGCUAGGCCCAGCAGAAGGACCGGCCAACUACGUUCCAGCAGCCGCGGUAAUACGUAGGGUCCGAGCGUUGUCCGGAAUUACUGGGCGUAAAGAGCUCGUAGGUGGUUUGUCGCCUUGUCCGUGAAAACUCACAGUUUAACUGUGGGCGUGCGGGCGAUACGGGCAGACUAGAGUACUGCAGGGGAGACUGGAAUUCCUGGUGUAGCGGUGGAAUGCGCAGAUAUCAGGAGGAACACCGGUGGCGAAGGCGGGUCUCUGGGCAGUAACUGACGCUGAGGAGCGAAAGCGUGGGGAGCGAAC